rnacentral:rRNA from 1 species
AGAGGGUGACCGGCCACACUGGGACUGAGACACGGCCCAGACUCCUACGGGAGGCAGCAGUGGGGAAUAUUGCACAAUGGGCGCAAGCCUGAUGCAGCAACGCCGCGUGAGGGACGACGGCCUUCGGGUUGUAAACCUCUUUUAGUAGGGAAGAAGCGAAAGUGACGGUACCUGCAGAAAAAGCACCGGCUAACUACGUGCCAGCAGCCGCGGUAAUACGUAGGGUGCAAGCGUUGUCCGGAAUUAUUGGGCGUAAAGAGCUCGUAGGCGGUCUGUCGCGUCUGCUGUGAAAACCCGAGGCUCAACCUCGGGCCUGCAGUGGGUACGGGCAGACUAGAGUGCGGUAGGGGAGAUUGGAAUUCCUGGUGUAGCGGUGGAAUGCGCAGAUAUCAGGAGGAACACCGAUGGCGAAGGCAGAUCUCUGGGCCGUAACUGACGCUGAGGAGCGAAAGCGUGGGGAGCGAACAGGAUUAGAUACCCUGGUAGUCCACGCCGUAAACGUUGGGCGCUAGAUGUGGGGACCAUUCCACGGUUUCCGUGUCGCAGCUAACGCAUUAA